GGAGCCAGCAUGCCCCUCCACGUCAGACCCUCCAGCUGUCCGAGGCCCCGGAAGGCGUUCCUCAUCCAGGCUGGCGUUCCUCACCGGGUUGUUCAUUCCCAAGUCCAGAGGAGAAACGGAUGAAACGAAGGCUCGUGCAGGAAGGCUCUUUGCCAGAAGGCCGAGUCCUUCUCUGGUGGGCGGGUUAUUACUAUUAACACAGCAUGUGCUGCUCAGCCAGUGUUUACGGAACCCCAGCUGGAGGCAGGAUUCGGCGAACUUCUGGGCCAGUGAACAUAUUCACCUGCUGAGAGAGUGGUGCACCCCAACUGCACAAGGACAGAAUGCAGCUCCUGUACUUGGGACCUUUCCAGAUCUUGAUGGAGGUUCGAGCCCUGGUCUGGGAAGAUCCCACAUGCCACGG